UACAGAGGGUGCGAGCGUUAAUCGGAAUUACUGGGCGUAAAGCGUGCGUAGACGGUAGCGUAAGUCAGAUGUGAAAGCCCCGGGCUCAACCUGGGAAUUGCAUUUGAGACUGCUCUGCUCGGGUGCGGAAGAAGGAAGCGGAAUUUCCGGUGUAGCGGUGAAAUGCGUAGAUAUCGGAAGGAACACCAGUGGCGAAAGCGGCUUCCUGGUCCGACACCGACGUUCAGGCACGAAAGCGUGGGGAGCAAACAGG
rnacentral:rRNA from 1 species